GAUGAACGCUGGCGGCGUGCCUAAUACAUGCAAGUCGAGCGAACAGACGAGGAGCUUGCUCCUCUGACGUUAGCGGCGGACGGGUGAGUAACACGUGGAUAACCUACCUAUAAGACUGGGAUAACUUCGGGAAACCGGAGCUAAUACCGGAUAAUAUAUUGAACCGCAUGGUUCAAUAGUGAAAGACGGUUUUGCUGUCACUUAUAGAUGGAUCCCCGCCGCAUUAGCUAGUUGGUAAGGUCACGGCUUACCACGGCAACGAUGCGUAGCCGACCUGAGAGGGUGAUCGGCCACACUGGAACUUAGACACGGUCCAGACUCCUACGGGAGGCAGCAGUAGGGAAUCUUCCGCAAUGGGCGAAAGCUUGACGGAGCAACGCCGCGUGAGUGAUGAAGGUCUUCGGAUCGUAAAACUCUGUUAUUAGGGAAGAACAAAUGUGUAAGUAACUAUGCACGUCUUGACGGUACCUAAUCAGAAAGCCACGGCUAACUACGUG
rnacentral:rRNA from 1 species